rnacentral:rRNA from 1 species
GUUUGACUGGGGCGGUCUCCUCCCAAAGAGUAACGGAGGAGCACGAAGGUUAGCUAAUCCUGGUCGGACAUCAGGAGGUUAGUGCAAUGGCAUAAGCUAGCUUGACUGCGAGCGUGACGGCGCGAGCAGGUGCGAAAGCAGGUCAUAGUGAUCCGGUGGUUCUGAAUGGAAGGGCCAUCGCUCAACGGAUAAAAGGUACUCCGGGGAUAACAGGCUGAUACCGCCCAAGAGUUCAUAUCGACGGCGGUGUUUGGCACCUCGAUGUCGGCUCAUCACAUCCUGGGGCUGAAGUAGGUCCCAAGGGUAUGGCUGUUCGCCAUUUAAAGUGGUACGCGAGCUGGGUUUAGAACGUCGUGAGACAGUUCGGUCCCUAUCUGCCGUGGGCGCUGGAGAAUUGAGGGGGGCUGCUCCUAGUACGAGAGGACCGGAGUGGACGCAUCACUGGUGUUCGGGUUGUCAUGCCAAUGGCAUUGCCCGGUAGCUAAAUGCGGAAGAGAUAAGUGCUGAAAGCAUCUAAGCACGAAACUUGCCCCGAGAUGAGUUCUCCCUGAGACUUUAAGUCUCCUGAAGGA